CCUACGGGCGGCAGCAGUGAGGAAUAUUGGUCAAUGGGCGCGAGCCUGAACCAGCCAAGUAGCGUGCAGGAAGACGGCUCUAUGAGUUGUAAACUGCUUUUGUACGGGGGUAAACGCAGAUACGCGUAUCUGUCUGAAAGUAUCUUACGAAUAAGGAUCGGCUAACUCCGUGCCAGCAGCCGCGGUAAUACGGAGGAUUCAAGCGUUAUCCGGAUUUAUUGGGUUUAAAGGGUGCGUAGGCGGUCGGAUAAGUUAGAGGUGAAAUCCCGAGGCUCAACUUCGGAAUUGCCUCUGAUACUGUUAGGCUAGAGAGUAGUUGCGGUAGGCGGAAUGUAUGGUGUAGCGGUGAAAUGCUUAGAGAUCAUACAGAACACCGAUGGCGAAGGCAGCUUACUAAGCUAAUUCUGACGUUGAGGUACGAAAGCGUGGGGAGCAAACAGGAUUAGAUACCCGGGUAGUC
rnacentral:rRNA from 1 species